CGAGACACUCAGAGUUGGGUCUAGGAAGGUUUGACACAACAACUGACCGCUUCCAUUUGACUUUACCCUGGGUUGUACCCAUUUACCAAUUCAGCGUGAGGAAGGAUGAAGGAUUCGUGUGUCCCCGUGUGUUCUUGCUGGAGAGAUGAUAGUGCGGGACAUCUGGUGCCGAGAACCCGGGAUAGAAACACCACACCAUCGCCAGGCGCCGAGAGAGGAGUCCUCCAUCCGCGGAGGGAAUCCAGAACUGUAGUGAUUAAGGAACUUGGUUUCAACACGUUGAUGGACUAGUCCAGGAAUUGAGACAAUCCAUCGUCCAUAUCAACUCCACUCAAGUGGAUGGUCACCGUGGAAGUGGUGGGAAAGGGGAAAUCCUACCUCUCUGCUGACACCAUCUGGUUUUUUCCCUCUUUGUCUAUUGUCUGUCCUUGGUGCACCAAGCUGUCCGUGUAUGUCAGUUUAUGUCUGUGGUUUUUGUUUCUUGUUGCUUAAAUGUUUUAUGUUUCAUGUUCAAAAGAGAAAAUGGUAAAAACUUUAUCUGUCAAUCGUUCACAUCUUGAUUUGGUUUUAACUCGUUUCAAAAAGGAACAAAUGAAUAAAAAGCAGUUUCAAUCGGCCUUUAGAGCCCUACACCUGUAGC
rnacentral:lncRNA from 1 species